UGCAAGUCGAACGGUGAACACGGAGCUUGCUCUGUGGGAUCAGUGGCGAACGGGUGAGUAACACGUGAGCAACCUGCCCCUGACUCUGGGAUAAGCGCUGGAAACGGCGUCUAAUACUGGAUAUGUGACGUGAUCGCAUGGUCUGCGUCUGGAAAGAAUUUCGGUUGGGGAUGGGCUCGCGGCCUAUCAGCUUGUUGGUGAGGUAAUGGCUCACCAAGGCGUCGACGGGUAGCCGGCCUGAGAGGGUGACCGGCCACACUGGGACUGAGACACGGCCCAGACUCCUACGGGAGGCAGCAGUGGGGAAUAUUGCACAAUGGGCGCAAGCCUGAUGCAGCAACGCCGCGUGAGGGAUGACGGCCUUCGGGUUGUAAACCUCUUUUAGCAGGGAAGAAGCGAAAGUGACGGUACCUGCAGAAAAAGCGCCGGCUAACUACGUGCCAGCAGCCGCGGUAAUACGUAGGGCGCAAGCGUUAUCCGGAAUUAUUGGGCGUAAAGAGCUCGUAGGCGGUUUGUCGCGUCUGCUGUGAAAUCCGGAGGCUCAACCUCCGGCCUGCAGUGGGUACGGGCAGACUAGAGUGCGGUAGGGGAGAUUGGAAUUCCUGGUGUAGCGGUGGAAUGCGCAGAUAUCAGGAGGAACACCGAUGGCGAAGGCAGAUCUCUGGGCCGUAACUGACGCUGAGGAGCGAAAGGGUGGGGAGCAAACAGGCUUAGAUACCCUGGUAGUCCACCCCGUAAACGUUGGGAACUAGUUGUGGGGUCCAUUCCACGGAUUCCGUGACGCAGCUAACGCAUUAAGUUCCCCGCCUGGGGAGUACGGCCGCAAGGCUAAAACUCAAAGGAAUUGACGGGGACCCGCACAAGCGGCGGAGCAUGCGGAUUAAUUCGAUGCAACGCGAAGAACCUUACCAAGGCUUGACAUAUACGAGAACGGGCCAGAAAUGGUCAACUCUUUGGACACUCGUAAACAGGUGGUGCAUGGUUGUCGUCAGCUCGUGUCGUGAGAUGUUGGGUUAAGUCCCGCAACGAGCGCAACCCUCGUUCUAUGUUGCCAGCACGUAAUGGUGGGAACUCAUGGGAUACUGCCGGGGUCAACUCGGAGGAAGGUGGGGAUGACGUCAAAUCAUCAUGCCCCUUAUGUCUUGGGCUUCACGCAUGCUACAAUGGCCGGUACAAAGGGCUGCAAUACCGCGAGGUGGAGCGAAUCCCAAAAAGCCGGUCCCAGUUCGGAUUGAGGUCUGCAACUCGACCUCAUGAAGUCGGAGUCGCUAGUAAUCGCAG
rnacentral:rRNA from 1 species